CAGCAUUGAGCAGCAAGAAAAGAGUCACCCUGAACGCAGCAGAUGGAUACUCAUUAAGCCAAGAAUUGAAUGGAAGCCUUGUCAUCCAGAUACAAAAUAAGUGCAUAACUAGAGACAGACUGGAAACUGCACUCAAAUUUUCAUUUGGACCAUUUUCUGCCACUACUUUGCAUUUCUGCUUGAAGCAGGAUGAAGAAUUCAGCUGUCCUACACCUGAAAUACUGCAUUAAAACUGCAGGCCUGUCUGGCUUUACCAUCCCAUGCAGAAGAUAAUAUGUAAAACCUAAACUACUGGAUCUAGAGCUAUACU